rnacentral:rRNA from 1 species
UGGGGAAUAUUGCACAAUGGGCGCAAGCCUGAUGCAGCCAUGCCGCGUGUGUGAAGAAGGCCUUAGGGUUGUAAAGCACUUUCAGUAGGGAGGAAAGGGUGUGUUUUAAUAGAGCAGAUCUGUGACGUUACCUACAGAAGAAGCACCGGCUAACUCCGUGCCAGCAGCCGCGGUAAUACGGAGGGUGCGAGCGUUAAUCGGAAUUACUGGGCGUAAAGCGUACGCAGGCGGUUGAUUAAGCGAGAUGUGAAAGCCCCGGGCUCAACCUGGGAACUGCAUUUCGAACUGGUCGACUAGAGUGUGAUAGAGGGUGGUAGAAUUUCAGGUGUAGCGGUGAAAUGCGUAGAGAUCUGAAGGAAUACCGAUGGCGAAGGCAGCCACCUGGGUCAACACUGACGCUCAUGUACGAAAGCGUGGGGAGCAAACGGG